rnacentral:rRNA from 1 species
GUCCACGCCGUAAACGUUGGGUGCUGGUUGUCGCGGGUCUUGACCCCCGCGGUGACGAAACUAACGCAAUAAGCACCCCGCCUGGGGAGUACGGUCGCAAGACUAAAACUCAAAGGAAUUGACGGGGGCCCGCACAAGCGGUGGAGCAUGUGGUUCAAUUCGAAGCAACGCGAAGAACCUUACCUGGGCUUGACAUCUGGAGAAUCUCCCUGAAAGGGGAGAGUGCCUUCGGGAGCUCCAAGACAGGUGCUGCAUGGCUGUCGU